rnacentral:lncRNA from 1 species
GUGAGAGGUGGGAUGGAGGCGCCAGGAGGCAGUGUGCAGGUGCUGAGGGGAGUCUGCGUGUGUUUUGAAGACAGCUGACCCCAUUUGCUAAUGGGUUGGUUGUGGGAUGGCAGGUGGGGGACAUGGAGGACUCCAAGGCUUUUGGCCUGAGCAACCAAUAAGAUUGCAGGAGGAUCGUGUGUGUGUGUGUGUUCGCGUGUGCUUUUGGACACGGUUCAGAGAUGCCCACUGGACAACCAGGAGGAGACAUGCAGUGGGCAGGAGUUCAGAGAGAACUCAUUCAUUCGUCAUCAGCUUGGAUGUCAUUUAGAGCUGAGCACCUGCCCGAGGGUGGAGGAGGUGUGUAGGUAGAGAAGCAGCCCUACUCCAACAUCUGCAGAGGCCUGGAGGCUGGAAGGCCCUGGUGCACACUGAUGGUCAGGCCCAGGUGAUUAGCCGCACGUCGUGGAGCGUUUGUUUGCCAGUCGUGGGUAAACAAAAGCCAUUUGUCAAAAUGAGAUGUUCCAGCCUCGUCCUCCCUUCAGCAGGCCAGUCCCCGCGCUGUGAAUUCCUGUUGCAUCAGCAGCGAGGCUAAUUAGCUCCUCGGCUCUUGAAUAAUAAUGGCCACAUUUACCGAGAGAUUUCUGUGCACGAGGAGCCCUGCAAAUGUGAUCUACGCAAGAAUCACAGAGGGACCUGGGUGGCACCUUACAGAGUCCUUCACAGUCACCUCUUGGAUCCACUUCAUGUAAGUUCUGUGAGAAGCUCUUCUAGGAGGCAACUUGAAGAGGAAAAUUACUGGGAUGAACUCCAACCCCUACCUCUGAAGUUUUGGGGUCUCAGGGCUGCAACUGACAUCCUCACCUGCCCACUCCACUACCCAUUAUAGACCACCUCACUCUCAGACGACAUCUCUGUUGGUCUCCUGAUUACCUGAGGGAACUGAGACCCUGGUCACCAUGCUAUUUUCAGGCCAGGGUUGCUACACUUGUCAACUUAACAUCAAAAUUGGGCAAGGGAGUACCAAGAAGCACCCAAGGGCAUCGCCUGGAUGUCAAACAUAUUCCUCCCAGACCCCAUAUGCAACCGCUUCUGGAUGCCAGGAUGCGACUCCUCUUCUUACCGCUGGCCCCUUGAUGCAAGGACAAGAAACCCAGAGUGCCAAGGAGGCGACUGUGCUUCGACUUUGAGGGACUCUGGCUGUGCCACCUUGCAGAAGUAUUUUCUCUUUGGGAACAAGGACCUCUAAACUUACGGAACCCAGAGUUGAGGGACAGAAAGCACAAAUUCUUUAAGUGGGCCACUGGGCCGCUUAAGCUUCUACCCCUAGGUUCCUAGACCCGUGUAUUCUGCCCAGUGGGGAUGCAGUGCCAUAUAUAGUAUUUGAUUUGAAGUGAUACUGCAUCUUGGAGGAUGGUACUGAAACCUUGUGAAGGCUUGUUUCUGAACUGGCAUUGCAGCUCUGUCUCCAUCGGGCCAGCAGCUUUGGGGUCAUGUGGUGUGCAGUAUUAACAGUGGAUCCCUGGUCAUGGGCCAGCCCACUCCCGCCCCUGCAGGGUUAUUGCUAUAAGAUGGGCUGUUGAGUCAGAAGUGAUGUUAUGUGGCAUCGUGUGCCAGUGAAUCAAACACUUCAUAGACCCUUGAGCAGAGAAUCCAUGGGCAGGAAAGGCAAAUCUCUAUGUGGAACUGGUCUCUAUUCCUGAUCUUUCAGGAGAGGGUCCAGUGUAGUCAUCUGCCACAUGCCAAGCCAAACCAAUCUCAGUUUUAUCCUCUUCAGCUGGUGACAUGGGAGUCCCCCAUGUGGCCAUUCGAAUGAGCUGAGGCUGCUGGUGCCUCAGUGGGGAUGAUGUGGGGUCUGGGCUACCUGCCGUGUAGCUUGCUGGUGUCCUCAAGGCGUGCUCAUGUUUGACCCGGGAUGUCCCCACCAUGUUAGAUUGAUUGAUUGGGUCUGGCAGACCCAGCUCAUGACAGGCAGUUCCAGCUGCCUGAUCACUCGGUGUCUCAUGUCUGGGUGUUGUGUGUCACAUGAGGGCUAGUAGCACAGGCACACCAGGACCUGUUUUCAGAAGGUGAAUAAUCCUUUGCUGCUAAUUGUAAUUCACUCCCAAAUUUUAGGGAGUCUCCAGAUCCUAAGGGAUUCUCCCAUUGGAGCUUGCAUUCUUCACUGGCAUCUCUUCCUAUCACUCACAUGGCUGACACCAUAGGGUCUGCUGAGUACUGUAUGGCUCAAGUCAAGGGAUGGGGUUGAUGGCUCUAGCAGCCUGACACUUUUGCAGAAUCCUUUCUUGCUCUGGGCCUUGGCAGCCUUUCAUGGCAUUGGCAUAUGGGGUUGGAGCAGUAUUCCUAGCUAUGAAAUAUGUUGCCUCCAGAUCUACCUAUCAGGUGUUAGGAUUUCUUCUUCAUGGUGGGAGGUAAAAGAUUAAAUAAUUUAUCUUUGCUUUGUAGGUAUGUCCCAGUAUUCACCAGACCAUUGAAUUCCUAGAAAUUUUACUAAUGUGGUGGCCUCUCGAUCUUCAGUAGUUUUCUCUCUCACCCUUUGGCUUCCAGCAUGCUAGGUACUGCUUGUCUAUCUGCCUGAUCAGCAUGAUGACAUCAGUGUACUGGAUCAGUGUGAUGUUCUGCAGGAUGUCCGAUGAUCCAGAUCUUUUUGGAUGGUCAUGACAGAGCUCUGAUGAAAGUUGUGAAUGUAUACUGUUGUCCCUUCCAUGUGAAUGUGAACUCUUUCUGAUUCUCUUUCUUGAUUGAGAUGGAAAUGAACAUAUUCACCAGAUUAAUGGCUUCAUAACAUGUACCUGAAUUCAAUUUUUUUUUGAGACGGAAUCUCACUCUGUCACCCAGGCUGGAGUGCAGUGGGGCGCGAUCUUGGCUCACACAACCUUUGCCUCCCAGGUGAAGUGAUUCUCCUGCCUCAGCCUCCUGAGUAGCUGGGAUUACAGGCAUGAGCCACCAUGCCUGGCCAGUUUUUGUAUUUUUAACAGAGAUGGGGUUUAUCAUGUUGACCAAGCUGGUCUCAAACUCCUGACUUCAAAUGAUCCACCAACCUCAGCCUCCCAAAUGCUGGGACUGUAGGCAUGAGCCACUUUGCCUGGCUCCCUGAAUUCAUAUUAAUCUUCUCUAGCAGCAAUACCACACCUAGCAAGGAAGCUGCAAUGGGGCUACUAGUUGUUGCACUUCUGGUAGUUUCCAUGGGGAACAGACUGGUGAAUUAAAUGGGACUAUAAUAGGAAUGAUCAUCCAUGCAUCUUUUAGAUCUUUAAGAACAGCACUCAUCUUUGCCAUCCCCUGGGAUGUAAUACUGCUUUUUAAUUUGCCAUCUUGGCCAGAAGGGGGAGUUUCAGAGGCUUCCACUUGGAUUUCCCCACUAUGAUAGCUCUUACCUCACAGGAUAAAGGGCUUGUGUCAAUUACUAAGUAUGUCAAUUACAGUUAUACAUUUGGAGACCACUGACGGUGGGACCAUGGACUGUGGGUGAGCUGGACCUAAGCUAGAACUCCAUUUAUCACCUGGCUCCCUUAGGAGGGGCCAUGCUAAUGCUCUGGGUUUCCCCUUCCCCAGUACACAGUUAUCUGAGUAACGCUGGGAAGAAAUGGAGGAAUCCUCGCUGUGUGCAGUCAUGGGGUUCUUCCUCCUGGGGACAUAGGCUUUCUGUCUAUCAAGUUUCCACGUCCAAGAACUUGCUCAGGGAUGGACAUUGCGGAAGGGAUUUUUACUUUUUUUUAAAUUAAGGUGACUGUCCUUAGCUUCCCAGCCAUCCAUCCGUGCUGUUUUUGAUUAUGCAGAUACAGUAGUAUCCUUAUUGGCUCCAUAUCUAUGUGGCCCCUAGGGGUGCCAAGUUCUAUUCACUCCACAGGUCUCUGUAGGUCAGGCUCCCCUGGCCUCCUCUCUACCCUACCACUCACCACAAUGACAUCUUCCUGCCUUCUGAUGGUGCCAUGGUCUGAAUGUUGGUGUCUCCCCAAAAUUCAUACGUUGAAACCUGACCACCAAUGUGAGGGUAUCAGGAGGUGGGGCCUUUGGAAGGCGAUUGGGUCAUGAAGAUGGAGCCUCAUGAAUGGGACUAGUGCCCUAAUGAAAAGAUGUCCCAGCAUGCUGCCCUGCCUGUUCUACACUCUGAGGACACAGUGAGAAGGCACCAUCUAUGAGCCAGAAAGUGGGCCUUCAGCAGACACCAAAUCUACUUUGAUCUUGGACUUCCCGGCCUCCAGAACUGUUAGAAAUAAAUUUCUUUAUAAGCCACCCAGCCUAUGGCAUUUUGUUACAGCAGCACUAAGGUAGAUGGCUUCUAGUUUUCCAAGGUCCUUGGGAUCAUUUCUGUGAGUAAGCCUGGUUGUACAGUGGCAAUUCCUCCUGCCAGCCCUGGUCCCCAGAGAGGAGCCAUCACUGAAUUUCUAAGUGAUCCAUUCCUAACAUCCUUGGUAAGUGGGUUAUCAUCUGGGUCCUGUGUGCAGCACAGGCCUCUGGGAGUUCCAGCCUUACAUGGCACACCUCCUCUGGUGGGCCCACCUCUCUGAGCCUAAGUGCCAAGGGCCUACCGUCUGCUCCAGCAGUUCUCACUUCAUGUUGGCCGCUGCUUUUUCCCAUGUUUCUAGGAACCAUCUGUAGUGAGUUUGCACCAUCUCCUGGGACACUGGUGAGAGUAUUAAAUCCUGUAU